UUUCCGUAGGUGAACCUGCGGAAGGAUCAUUAUUGUAUAACCCGGGUGCGAGGGCUGUCGCUGACCCGAAAGUUCGUUCACGCCAGAGUGCCCUCACACUCAUCCAUCUCACCCCUAUGUGCACCACCGCGUGGGUCCCCCUUUGGCUUGUUCGGUGCGGGGGUUACGUUUUCUCACAGACUUUGUAUGCAGUGAAGAAAGUAUGUUUUGUGUGUGCGAUCACGCAAUCAAUACAACUUUCAACAACGGAUCUCUUGGUUCUG
rnacentral:misc_RNA from 1 species